UUUCCCAUUUGACUACCACUUUAGAUCUUAAUAGUAGAUCUUAGCGGUUAUGCUUGUGGGAUAGAUUAAAAUUGCCGUGAUCUGAAGAGGGAGGAUUUUUUGUGUCCUCCUUCUAUAUGAAAUGGCUGUACAGAAAAUU
ensembl:snoRNA small nucleolar RNA SNORA29